rnacentral:rRNA from 1 species
UUGAGCGCUGGCGGCAUGCCUUACACAUGCAAGUCGAACGGUAGAGGGGCAACCCUUGAGAGUGGCGAACGGGUGAGUAAUAUAUCGGAACGUGCCCAGUCGUGGGGGAUAACGCAGCGAAAGCUGCGCUAAUACCGCAUACGAUCUAUGGAUGAAAGCGGGGGAUCGCAAGACCUCGCGCGAUUGGAGCGGCCGAUAUCAGAUUAGGUAGUUGGUGGGGUAAAAGCCC